UCGGCUUAGAGUUUGAUCAUGGCUCAGGAUGAACGCUAGCGACAGGCCUAACACAUGCAAGUCGAGGGGCAGAUGUAGCAAUACAUUGCGACCGGCGCACGGGUGAGUAACACGUAUGCAAUCUACCUUCUACAGAGAGAUAGCCCGUUGAAAGACGGAUUAAUACCUCAUAAUACAGGCUCGCAUGAGUAUUUGUUAAAGGAGCAAUCCGGUAGAAGAUGAGCAUGCGCUCCAUUAGGUAGUUGGUGAGGUAACGGCUCACCAAGCCAACGAUGGAUAGGGGAACUGAGAGGUUUAUCCCCCACACUGGUACUGAGACACGGACCAGACUCCUACGGGAGGCAGCAGUGAGGAAUAUUGGUCAAUGGACGCAAGUCUGAACCAGCCAAGUCGCGUGAAGGAUGACUGCCCUCGGGUUGUAAACUUCUUUUGUACUAGAGUAAAACAGGCUACGUGUAGCCUCUUGCAAGUAUAGUACGAAUAAGCAUCGGCUAACUCCGUGCCAGCAGCCGCGGUAAUACGGAGGAUGCGAGCGUUAUCCGGAUUUAUUGGGUUUAAAGGGUGCGUAGGCGGAAGCUUAAGUCAGCGGUGAAAGUUUGAGGCUCAACCUUAAAAUUGCCGUUGAAACUGGGUUUCUUGAGUGUAAAUGAAGUAGGCGGAAUUCGUAGUGUAGCGGUGAAAUGCAUAGAUAUUACGAGGAACUCC
rnacentral:rRNA from 1 species